AUGUUAUUAGAUGAAAAAUAUUUAGCAUUCAAAGUUUUUUCUCCAAAUGUUUUUGUGUGUGCAACUAUGAUCUGUUCCUUGCAGCCAAGCCAAUGGAUAUAUUGCAGACGGCGGCAGGUGGUAGCAAUAGGGGUUGGCGGAUGCUCCGAGACCAUGAAGAGCCUAUUCAAUGAUGUGAAGCAUGACAUGGCGAAGGAGGAUCCCGAUAUGUUAGCCCCCACAAUCGCGCAGUUGGAGGGCAUGCACGAUCUCGGUAAAAUAAUGAAUUAUCAUCUCCCGCGUUUUCUCUCGAAGAUAAAGGUGUGCUCAGUCUGUACGAGCUCAAAGGCUGCUUCUUCUUUGUUCUGUUCAUCAAGAGGGAACAGCUAUUUCACUGUCUUGAGUGCAAACGACAGUCCAAACUUUUAUGGAACACCAUGUCAUGAUUCGUAUGACCAUCAUGGAGCAUCACACGUUCUGGUUGGGUUAAGAGCAUUGCCUUUGCAUCUUUGGACAUUCAAAACAGUAGAUCACCUGUUGCACCCAUGUGUGUCGUUGCUGAAAUUCACAAUAACUGUCUAUAUACCUAACCAUGUGAUUCAUAUAUACUUGUCAAACUUUCAUGCCACGCCACGGAUCAGUACUGGUUGA
rnacentral:rRNA from 1 species